UACGUAGGUGGCAAGCGUUGUCCGGAAUUAUUGGGCGUAAAGCGCGCGCAGGCGGCCUUUUAAGUCUGAUGUGAAAGCCCACGGCUCAACCGUGGAAGGUCAUUGGAAACUGAAAGGCUUGAGUACAGAAGAGGAAAGCGGAAUUCCACGUGUAGCGGUGAAAUGCGUAGAGAUGUGGAGGAACACCAGUGGCGAAGGCGGCUUUCUGGGCCUGUCCUGACGCUCAGGCGCGAAAGCUAGGGGAGCAAACAGG
rnacentral:rRNA from 1 species